rnacentral:rRNA from 1 species
UGUGAGUAGAGCGGCGGACGGGUGAGUAAUGCUUGGGAAUCUGCCCAAUAGUGGGGGACAACGUGGGGAAACCCACGCUAAUACCGCAUACGCCCUACGGGGGAAAGGAGGGGAUCUUCGGACCUUUCGCUAUGAGAUGAGCCUGCGUAAGAUUAGCUAGUUGGUAGGGUAAAGGCCUACCAAGGCGACGAUCUUUAGCUGGUCUGAGAGGAUGAUCAGCCACACUGGAACUGAGACACGGUCCAGACUCC